CGCAAACAUGGCCGACAGCACUCACUGAAACAGCCAAUGUGGAAAUACUAUGGAGACAUAGGUGGUGAACAGCAUAUUUGAGCCUGAAUCAAAGGAAGAAUCUGAAAUAGAGGAGCAACCAGUCGCCCAUAGAUUGGAAAUGACUACUUCAGAGUGGUUAUUAAAAGAAUGACCCAGGUUCCUGAGGAGCUGACCUGAAUGACCCAUCAUGGCCUCAAUCCGUUGUGCCUCUAUAUUCUUUGCAAAAUGCAAUGAAUAUUUACUGAGCUGACCAUGGCCGUUUGAGAAUCAGAGGAAUGGAAAGGCAAUGAAGUGACUUGGCCUACAGGUCUUUUGUGAGCAGGAGCUGGGGUUUCCUUAGAAGAAGUGUCCGUGUCAUGAUCCCCUUGUGCGUGGUGCUACGCAUAUGGAGGGAACUUCCGGAUACUUCAGGGCAUU